CAGACAUGCCUUUGUUUUCAUUAUUUAUUAUUUAUAUUUUUUCAGGUUUUAUUUUUAAGUAAUCUCUACACCCAACGUGGGGCUCAAACUCAUAAUCCCAACCAAGAUCAAGAGUCACAUGCUUCACCAGCUGAGCCAGCCAGUUAAAGAACAGAAUGUCCUGGGUUUUUCUUCCUGAACUAUCUGAGUGGAAGCUGGCUGACCUGUGGAGAGUCCCAUGGAGCAAGGAGCUGAGGGAGCCUCCGGGACAACAGCCAUGGAGGUACUGAGGCCCUGUCAGCAACUCCUGAGGAACUAAAUCCUGCUAACAACCAUGUGAUCAGGCUGGGAAGCAGACGCUCCCCAGGCUGAGCCUUCAGAUUGGAGCUUUGUGAGAGACCGAGCCAGAAGCACCCAGCUAGGCUGUGCCCAGAUUCCUGACACACAAAAACUGAUUUAAUAAAUGUUUGUUCUGAGCCACUGAGUUUGGGGGUAAACUGUUACACACAGAUAAUGUAGUAAGCCAUCUCCCACUUCCACUGC
rnacentral:lncRNA from 1 species